rnacentral:rRNA from 1 species
GCCAUCUAAGAUGCCACCCUGAACAAGCCCGAUCCUGUCUGAUCUCAGAAGCUAAGCAGGGUUGGGCCUGGUUAGUACUUGGAUGGGAGACCACCUAGGAAGACCAGGUGCUGUAGGCG